AGUGAACGCUGGCGGUAGGCCUAACACAUGCAAGUCGAACGGCAGCACAGUAAGAGCUUGCUCUUACGGGUGGCGAGUGGCGGACGGGUGAGGAAUACAUCGGAAUCUACUUUUUCGUGGGGGAUAACGUAGGGAAACUUACGCUAAUACCGCAUACGACCUACGGGUGAAAGCAGGGGAUCUUCGGACCUUGCGCGAUUGAAUGAGCCGAUGUCGGAUUAGCUAGUUGGCGGGGUAAAGGCCCACCAAGGCGACGAUCCGUAGCUGGUCUGAGAGGAUGAUCAGCCACACUGGAACUGAGACACGGUCCAGACUCCUACGGGAGGCAGCAGUGGGGAAUAUUGGACAAUGGGCACAAGCCUGAUCCAGCCAUACCGCGUGGGUGAAGAAGGCCUUCGGGUUGUAAAGCCCUUUUGUUUGGAAAGAAAAGCAGCAGGUUAAUACCCCGCUGUUCUGACGGUACCCAAAGAAUAAGCACCGGCUAACUUCGUG
rnacentral:rRNA from 1 species